CAUGCGCAAUGAAAAUGGGAGCUGUAUCUAAAAUAUAGGAGAUUAAUGUGUUUUUAUUAAGGGAUUAAGCCCCCAGAACGGGGCGCUAUUAAUAAUGCAGAUGGAGUCGCAGCUACAGAGCAUAUUUGAGGAGGUGGUGAAAACCGAGGUAAUUGAGGAAGCCUUUGCUGGUAUGUUUAUGGACACACCGGAGGAUGAAAGAACAAAGCUGAUCAGUUGUCUUAGUGCCUUCAGACAGUACUGGAGUGUUCUUCCUCAGGAUUCACAUGAGCAGUGUGUCCAGUGGAUUGUUCGGUUUAUUCAUGGGCAACACAGCCCUAAGAGGAUCUCUUUUCUUUAUGACUGCUUAGCGAUGGCAGUGGAGACUGGGCUUCUUCCUCCAAGAAUGGUUUGUGAAGCACUGGUGAACUCUGAUACGUUGGAAUGGGAAAGGACACAGCUUUGGGUCUUAACAUUUAAGCUUAUUCGAAAGAUCAUUGGUGGCGUUGAUUACAAGGGGGUGAGAGAUCUAUUAAAAGUGAUUUUGGAGAAAAUCCACACUGUUCCCAACACCAUCAGCUCUGCAGUUGUACAGCAACUUCUUGCAGCUAGAGAGGUUGUAGCCUACAUUUUGGAGAGAAAUGCUUGCCUCCUUCCUGCCUACUUUGCAGUUACAGAAAUCCGCAAGCUUUACCCUGAGGGAAAGCUUCCACACUGGUUGCUCGGUGACCUGUUGUCAGACUUUGUGGACAGUUUUCGACCUACAGCAAGAAUCAACUCUAUCUGUGGUCGAUGCAAUCUUCUCCCUGUGGUGAACAAUUCUGGUGCAAUAUGCAACUCCUGGAAACUUGAUCCUUUGACUUUGCGAUUUCCAUUGAAAGGACUUUUGCCUUAUGAUAAAGAUUUAUUUGAGCCACAAACUGCUCUUUUGAGAUAUGUUCUGGAACAGCCCUACUCUCGAGAUAUGGUGUGCAACAUGCUUGGUCUAAACAAGCAGACCUUGAACAUUGCUCAGCAUAAGCAGCGCUGCCCUGUUCUAGAGGACCAGUUAGUGGAUCUAGUUGUGUAUGCAAUGGAACGAUCAGAGACUGAGGACAAGUUUGAUGAUGGUGGGACCAGCCAGCUGCUUUGGCAGCAUCUAUCCAGCCAGCUCAUAUUCUUUGUGCUCUUUCAAUUUGCCAGUUUCCCGCACAUGGUCUUAUCACUUCACCAAAAGUUGGCAGGCCGUGGGCUUAUCAAAGGGAGAGACCACCUCAUGUGGGUGCUUUUGCAGUUCAUAUCUGGAAGUAUUCAGAAGAAUGCUUUAGCGGACUUUCUCCCAGUUAUGAAGCUCUUUGAUCUCUUAUACCCAGAGAAAGAAUGUAUUCCUGUGCCUGACAUCACCAAACCCCAGUCCACACACUCAUUUGCAAUGACCUGCAUUUGGAUUCAUUUGAACAGAAAAGCUCAAAAUGACAAUUCGAAAUUGCAGAUUCCUAUUCCUCAUUCACUAAAGCUACAUCAUGAGUUCUUGCAACAAAGCUUAAGAAAUAAAAGCUUGCAGAUGAAUGACUACAAGAUAGCUUUGCUAUGCAAUGCCUAUUCUACAAAUUCUGAAUGUUUCACACUACCAAUGGGAGUGCUUGUAGAAACUAUUUAUGGAAAUGGAAGUAUGCGGAUUCCACUUCCAGGAACCAACUGUAUGGCAUCAGGAUCCAUUACCCCUUUGCCAAUGAACCUUUUGGAUUCCCUUACUGUGCAUGCAAAAAUGAGCCUCAUUCACAGUAUUGCCACCAGAGUAAUUAAAUUGGCUCAUGCCAAAUCUAGCUUGGCUUUGGCACCAGCACUUGUGGAAACCUACAGUCGGUUGUUGGUUUACAUGGAGAUAGAGUCGCUGGGCAUCAAGGGAUUCAUCAGUCAGCUCCUGCCUACUGUGUUCAAGUCACAUGCCUGGGGUAUUCUUCACACCCUACUUGAAAUGUUCAGCUACAGAAUGCACCACAUUCAGCCGCAUUAUCGAGUACAGCUACUGAGCCAACUCCACUCACUUGCAGGAGUAUCACAGACCAAUCAGAAUCAGCUGCAUCUCUGUGUUGAAAGUACAGCUUUGAGACUGAUUACGGCACUCGGCAGCUCAGAGGUGCAGCCGCAGUUUACACGCUUCCUGAGUGAUCCCAAAACUGUUUUGUCAGCUGAAUCAGAGGAGCUUAAUAGGGCUUUGAUUUUAACACUUGCAAGAGCGACACACGUCACUGAUUUUUUUACAGGAUCAGAUUCCAUUCAGGGUACAUGGUGUAAAGAUAUUCUUCAAACCAUCAUUAGCUUUACACCCCAUAACUGGGCUUUGCAUACACUCAGCUGCUUUCCAGCUCCCUUACAGGCAUUCUUCAAACAGAACAAUGUACCUCAAGAAAGUCGUUUCAACCUAAAAAAAAAUGUUGAAGAGGAGUAUAGGAAGUGGAAGUCCAUGACCAAUGAGAAUGAUAUAAUCACACACUUCUCCAUGCAGGGAUCACCUCCCCUGUUCCUUUGUCUCCUAUGGAAGAUGCUUCUGGAGACUGAUCAGAUCAACCAGAUUGGUUACAGAGUUUUGGAGAGAAUUGGGGCCAGAGCUCUUGUUGCUCAUGUAAGAACAUUUGCUGAUUUCCUUGUAUAUGAAUUUUCAACUUCAGCAGGAGGCCAGCAGCUUAAUAAAUGUAUAGAGAUGCUCAAUGACAUGGUGUGGAAAUACAAUAUUGUGACUUUAGACAGACUGAUACUGUGCUUGGCCAUGCGCAGUCAUGAAGGAAAUGAAGCCCAGGUUUGCUACUUCAUUAUUCAAUUGCUUCUCCUGAAACCAAAUGACUUCAGGAACAGAGUGAAUGACUUUGUGAAGGAAAAUUCCCCAGAACACUGGCUUCAGAAUGACUGGCAUACAAAGCACAUGAGUUAUCAUAAGAAAUAUCCAGAAAAGCUGUACUUUGAAGGCCUUGCCGAGCAAGUUAACCCUCCUGUUCAGAUCCAACCACAGUACCUUCCCAUCUACUUUGGAAAUGUGUGCCUACGUUUUCUUCCAGUGUUUGACAUUGUUAUCCACCGGUUUCUAGAACUGCUUCCUGUUUCUAAAUCCCUAGAGACUUUGCUUGAUCAUCUUGGAGGCCUGUACAAAUUCCAUGAUCGACCAGUAACCUACUUGUACAACACACUUCACUACUAUGAAAGCCAUCUGCGGGACAGGGCAAAUCUGAAACGCAAACUUGUUCAUUCUAUUAUUGGAUCUCUCAAAGAUAACAGGCCUCAAGGCUGGUGUCUGAGUGAUACAUACCUCAAAUUUGGUAUGAAUGCACGAGAGGAUAACCCUUGGAUUCCUGAUGACAUCUACUAUUGCAAGUUGAUUGGCCGUCUAGUAGACACAAUGGCUGGAAAAUCUCCUGGUGCAUUUCCAAACUGUGACUGGAGGUUUAAUGAGUUCCCCAACCCAGCUGCCCAUGCACUUCAUGUUACCUGUGUUGAACUCAUGGCUUUAACUGUGCCAGGGAAAGAUGUUGGAAAUGCACUUCUGAAUGUUGUGUUAAAAAGCCAACCUCUCGUACCCAGAGAGAAUAUCACUGCUUGGAUGAAUGCAAUCGGGCUUGUCAUUACAGCUUUACCCGAACCCUACUGGAUUGUUCUUCACGAUCGGAUUGUUAGUGUGCUAAAUAGUCCAGGAUUAACGUCAGAAACAGAGUGGGUUGGUUACCCAUUCCAGCUCUUUGACUUCACUGCAUGUCAUAAAGCUUAUUCUGAGAUGAGCUGCAGUUACACUUUAGCCCUAGCCCAUGCGGUGUGGCACCAUUCAAGCAUUGGACAGCUGUCGCUUAUUCCAAAGUUCCUUCCAGAGGUUCUUAUACCUAUAGUGAAAACAGAGUACCAGUUGUUGUUUGUUUAUCAUCUUGUAGGGCCAUUUCUACAGCGUUUCCAACAAGAACGUACAAGAUGCAUGAUAGAGAUUGGUGUUGCAUUCUAUGAAAUGCUUUUAAACGUAGAUCGUUGUAGUGAACACCUAAAUUUCAUGGACCCCAUUUGUGACUUCCUGUAUCAUAUGAAGUACAUGUUUACUGGAGAUAGCGUAAAGGACCAAGUAGAAAAAAUCAUCUUCAACCUAAGGCCUGCUUUAAAACUCCGUCUACGUUUCAUCACACAUAUCAGCAAGCUGGAGCCAGCUGCACCACCUCCUCAACCCAUGAACAGUGGUUCUCCAGCUCCACAGACCAGCCAGGUGCCGGUCAGUGUUGCAUUACCAGUAACCCAAUGAACACUGUACUCCUGGCAUUUUAGCUUUCUGUUUUUUUUUUCACAGAACCAGCAGUUACUGCUGAAAACGUAACAAUGACCAAUACUGAUGGGAUGGAGACGACCUGAGAAAAGAUGGAAAAUUCUGUAAAUCCUAUGCCAGCAAGAGCACAUGUAAGAGAGUUACCAGCUAUCAUCAAGAAGAAAUUAACACUGAAUUCUUUGCACUUUUUUUGAGCACUUACAUUUUAAUAGAAGCUUCAGAGGUUGAUGUGCAUACGAGGGUAACAUUAAUAGAAUUCAGUGAUUCUUUUGGAAGUUAUCUUAUGGAUUUUGUAUAGAAUAAAAAAAAAUGUUCCCUUGUAGAAUUUUGAAAUAACAUUUUGUUGAUUCUUUCUUAAGAAUAAGCUUUUUCACCAGUUUACACCAAAGGUCAAAAUAUACACACAGCAAUGCGGUUUAAUUUUAUUAAAAUGUUUAAAUGUAUAUAUGCUUUUGUUUCAUGUUAGAAGGUGACUAAACCAUUGUCACCUUAAAUAUAUGGAAACUUUUUUUUAAAAAAAUAAACAAAAGUAAUACAA